CGCGGUAAUACGGAGGAUGCAAGCGUUAUCCGGAUUCAUUGGGUUUAAAGGGUGCGUAGGCGGAUUAGAUAGUCAAAGGUGAAAGCCUGCAGCUUAACUGUAGAAGUGCCUUUGAUACUGCUAAUCUUGAGUACAGUUGAGGCGAGUGGAAUGUGUAGUGUAGCGGUGAAAUGCAUAGAUACUACACAGAACACCAAUUGCGAAGGCAGCUCGCUAAGCUGUUACUGACGCUCAGGCACGAAAGCGUGGGGAGCGAACAGGAUUAGAUACCCUGGUAGUCCACGCUGUAAACUAUGAUCACUAGCUGUUGGCGAUAAAUUGUCAGUGGCUCAGCGAAAGCGUUAAGUGAUCCACCUGGGGAGUACGAUCGCAAGGUUGAAACUCGAAGGAAUUGACGGGGGCCCGCACAAGCGGUGGAACAUGUGGUUUAAUUCGAUGAUACGCGAGGAACCUUACCUGGGCUUAAAUGUAGAGCGACGUCUCGAGAAAUCGGGAUUCCCUUCGGGGCGAACUACAAGGUGCUGCAUGGUUGUCGUCAGCUCGUGCCGUGAGGUAUCGGGUUAAGUCCCAUAACGAGCGCAACCCUUAUUGUUAGUUGCCAGCGGAUAAUGCCGGGGACUCUAACAAAACUGCCCGUGUAAACGGGAGGAAGGUGGGGAUGACGUCAAAUCAGCACGGCCCUUAUGUCCAGGGCUACACACGUGUUACAAUGGCUGGAACAAAGGGCAGCUACCACGCAAGUGGAUGCUAAUCUCUAAAUCCAGUCCCAGUUCGGAUCGAAGUCUGCAAUUCGACUUCGUGAAGAUGGAAUCGCUAGUAAUCGCGCAUCAGCAAUGGCGCGGUGAAUAUG
rnacentral:rRNA from 1 species